CCUAGAAUGAGAUUGAGGGAUGUUAGUACACAUAACGUAACCAGAAGGAAUAUGUAUUUGGUUAAUAACUGGGUAAAAACAAGGUUUCCAAGAGAAUAUUUUGUAUUUUUCAAAUGAUUCAUAACAUUGCAAAAGGUAAUUACAAACAAUUCUUUCAUUGCUGCUCCUGUUUGGGCAAAACAAACACCCUCCCUGCCAGCCCAAGAAGACGACAUAUGUGCAGCUGCCUAAGAACGAUUGUCAGAAUGCCUGAAAGGAUUCAACUUGUGAUGAGUACAAAUUAAGGACUGAUGUCAGCUGCUUAUACUGCUGGCCCCCAGUGGGGAUCUUCCACCCUCCCAAACGGAUCCAGAAUCAGAUUCUGUUCAAUUAUCUAGCCAGAAAUCAAACCAGUUUGCUGAAGUUUCAGCCCUCUACCCUGGAGAAAGAGAAAUGCACAAACUCAAAUGCGACAGAGUUUGCAAUUUCUCCAAAACAGACACGAGAUAUUACAGGAGUGUUUCUGAACAACGUAACAGCAGCACUACCUGCUUCCAGGAAAGCUUCACUUUUUUCAAAGUAUUCUGGUGCUAUUUGCUUAAGCACAGUGCGAAAGAGAUGGACAUAUGGCAGCUUGCUGAUGAGGACCAGCGACUGGAAUAAAGAAUAACAGCACAAAAAUA